GGCAAGUCUGGUGCCAGCAGCCGCGGUAAUUCCAGCUCCAAUAGCGUAUAUUAAAGUUGUUGCGGUUAAAAAGCUCGUAGUUGAAUUUGUGUUCCGCGCUGUCGGUUCACCGCCCGCGGUGUUUAACUGGCACGUCCGCGGAACGUCCUGCCGGUGGACGCGUAGACCCUGUAUGCUUCCCCAUUGUGCGUGUGCAACUUCGGUUGUUACUGUAUGAUGUGGUGGGGUUGCAGGCGCUUUACCGUCCGACUCAAUAAUCCUGUCGCGGUGCUCUUAAUUGAGUGUCGAGGCGGGCCGGCACGUUUACUUUGAACAAAUUAGAGUGCUCAAAGCAGGCUAAAAUUUCGCCUGAAUACUGUGUGCAUGGAAUAAUGGAACAGGACCUCGGUUCUAUUUUGUUGGUUUUCGGAACCCCGAGGUAAUGAUUAAUAGGGACAGAUGGGGGCAUUCGUAUUGCGACGUUAGAGGUGAAAUUCUUGGAUCGUCGCAAGACGGACAGAAGCGAAAGCAUUUGCCAAAAAUGUUUUCAUUAAUCAAGAACGAAAGUCAGAGGUUCGAAGGCGAUCAGAUACCGCCCUAGUUCUGACCAUAAACGAUGCCAGCUAGCGAUCCGCCGACGUUCCUCCGAUGACUCGGCGGGCAGCUUCCGGGAAACCAAAGCUUUUGGGUUCCGGGGGAAGUAUGGUUGCAAAGCUGAAACUUAAAGGAAUUGACGGAAGGGCACCACCAGGAGUGGAGCCU
rnacentral:rRNA from 1 species